UCCAUAGAUUUCCCUCUCUCCAUAUUUUUAGUUUUCUCUACCUGCAUUCGACCCUAACUCUUCUACUCUCGCGCAUUUCGUCUGAGGGGAGAAAAACCGAUUAUUUGGUGCAAUCUUUUGUUGCGAGCGGCUGUGAUUUUUUUGAGUUGAGCGUCUUUUUACAUGUUUAUUCCUUUUAAAAGUGGGUUUUCAGUGUUUUUAAAGUCAGGUAAGUGGAUUCAGUGAUUACAGUGCGCGUUGUUAGUUAAAUUAAAUUUGUACAUGGGUUUCGCAAGAACAAAUAUGUUUAGAUUCUAGAUCAUUCAAGCGGUGUGGUCCCGUUAACCAUGUGCGUCGCUGCGAGUGUUUGUUUUUGCUCGAGGAAACCCAUAUCAAAACAUUUCUGAAGUCAAAAUCAAAAUAUUAGUCCAGGAGUAAUUGUUUAAAAUGCCUCAAAGGAGCAUUGGUGCUUAUUAACUUGAUCGAGUCAGUUAAGGAAGGCCCUACAGAUAAUUAAAAAUAAUUAAAUCAAUGAAAAAUCUAGAAAAUCUGUGUAAAAUAAAUA